AUAGCCCAUGGGGCACCGGCACUGCAUACGAGAAAGACAACAACUGUGACAACAUGAACAUGUUAACUGUGUUUGUCCUAAUAGCAAUAUCUGUUGCAGAUUCCAGGGGUCAGACUCUGACUGAAUCUGAGCCUGUAGUUCUUAAACCCGGAGACUCCCACAAACUGACCUGCACGUACUCUGGCUUUAGCAGUGAUCCUUGGAUAGCGUGGAUCAGACAAGGUCCAGGAAAAGGGCUGGAGUGGCUGGCUCUAAUUCACCCCACAUCAAGAAGUUCUACAUACUACGCUCAGUCCAUUCAGGGAAGGUUCACAAUUUCCAGAGACAACAGCAAGAAACAGAGUUACCUACAGAUGAACAGCCUGAAAACCGAAGACUCUGCUGUGUACUACUGUGCUCGAGAGCCACAGUGAGAGAUAAAGCUUAAGUGCAGCACAAAAACACAUGCCAUUUUUCUGGAUCAGGGGACAAAGUGUAACUGCAGUUCAGAUAGGACCAAAAUACCUUUCCUUGUAAAAAAAAAAAAAAACUCAAUGAUAAAUGUUCACAUAACAUGAAGUACCAAAUAUCGCAAAUACAAAGUCAUUAUUUGUUCACCUUAGUAUUUAUUUUUUCAUAAAUGAUUUAUUUAUUUACCCACCAAUCUUUUGUCUACUGUGACGAUACACAAGUGCCUUUCAUUGA